AUGGCUCAGGAUGAACGCUAGCGGCAGGCUUAACACAUGCAAGUCGAGGGGGCAGCGGGAUGUAGCAAUACAUUGCCGGCGACCGGCGGAUGGGUGCGUAACGCGUAUGCAACCUACCUUAUACAGGGGAAUAACCUUUCGAAAGGGAGACUAACACCCCAUAGUAUUGAUUUAAGGCAUCUUAGAUUAAUUAAAUAUUUAUAGGUAUAAGAUGGGCAUGCGUAUGAUUAGCUAGUUGGUAAGGUAACGGCUUACCAAGGCGACGAUCAUUAGGGGUUCUGAGAGGAAGGUCCCCCACACUGGUACUGAGACACGGACCAGACUCCUACGGGAGGCAGCAGUGAGGAAUAUUGGUCAAUGGGCGCAAGCCUGAACCAGCCAUGCCGCGUGCAAGGAAGACGGCCUUAUGGGUUGUAAACUGCUUUUACAUAAGACUAACCGUAUAUUUGCGAAUAUACCUGAAUGUAUUAUGAGAAUAAGGAUCGGCUAACUCCGUGCCAGCCGCCGC
rnacentral:rRNA from 1 species